rnacentral:rRNA from 1 species
CAGGCCUAACACAUGCAAGUCGAGCGGAAACGAGUUAUCUGAACCUUCGGGGAACGAUAACGGCGUCGAGCGGCGGACGGGUGAGUAAUGCCUAGGAAAUUGCCCUGAUGUGGGGGAUAACCAUUGGAAACGAUGGCUAAUACCGCAUGAUGCCUACGGGCCAAAGAGGGGGACCUUCGGGCCUCUCGCGUCAGGAUAUGCCUAGGUGGGAUUAGCUAGUUGGUGAGGUAAGGGCUCACCAAGGCGACGAUCCCUAGCUGGUCUGAGAGGAUGAUCAGCCACACUGGAACUGAGACACGGUCCAGACUCCUACGGGAGGCAGCAGUGGGGAAUAUUGCACAAUGGGCGCAAGCCUGAUGCAGCCAUGCCGCGUGUGUGAAGAAGGCCUUCGGGUUGUAAAGCACUUUCAGUCGUGAGGAAGGUGGUGUCGUUAAUAGCGGCAUCAUUUGACGUUAGCGACAGAAGAAGCACCGGCUAACUCCGUGCCAGCAGCCGCGGUAAUACGGAGGGUGCGAGCGUUAAUCGGAAUUACUGGGCGUAAAGCGCAUGCAGGUGGUUUGUUAAGUCAGAUGUGAAAGCCCGGGGCUCAACCUCGGAAUAGCAUUUGAAACUG